CAGUGUUCUAGAUCUUCUCUGAGGUGAGCAUUCAUAUCAGACAUUCUGUCUCUUUGUCUUCUAGGGGAGACUUUGCUGAAGUCCUCUGACCAGCGCUUGUCUGACCUGGCUGCUGUCAUCCUGAGAUCCGCCUUUGCUCAAGUUUCGGGAAUUCCCUUUAUUGUUCGAUUGUGUCGAAGCCUGUUUCCUGGACUUCCUAUUUUCUUCCUUCUUGAUUCGUUCCUUUGUUUUAUGAAGCACACUCCCCAUAGUUUCCUAAAAAUAGUGUGUAGGAGAUUAAUUUUUCCGGUGUCUGAAAAUGUCUUCAUUCUGCACAUAUUCGUAAUUUGUCUGGAUAGGUUCUCACAACCCAGCCUGUGUGAGGGGAGUCAGUGGCAUACCCUGCCCAGGCAGCUUGUAACACUUAGCUGUGAGACGGUGCACUGAGCCAGAUUUGUAAGGCCAAGUGAGGACCUUGGGUUAAAGAAAGGACACAAGAGAAAGGAGAACACACUGGACUAGAAGACAGUAGAGGUAGGUUCUAGCUGCUUGUGUUUUUUUUGCUGCUGAGAAGCCAUAUGACAAUGGACAACUCUAGUUGUCUUUUUCCCUAAAGAGAGGAUGUUGGACUAGAUAAUCUCAAAGGGCU
rnacentral:lncRNA from 1 species